UAAGUGAUUAAGUCUAAUAGUAUCUGAUCUAACUAGCAUGAUGCCCAACAACCAUGGAUUAGAACCUUUUAUUAAGAUUAAUUAAAAUUAUUGAGAAGAUCUCUUUGUUGAAUACAAUAAUCUUAGAGAGAGAAAAUUCAUGUAAAGGGAGAAAAUAAAGAGAAAUUGGGGAAAGCAUGUGAAGAGAGAGGAAAGGCAG
rnacentral:lncRNA from 1 species